UGCCAUAGAACUUUACAAAGUUUGUUAUAUCAGUCUCCUUAAAUUUUUUUUAUGCAUGCGCUUAUAAAACCAGCAUUUGCCUUCCCACCUUUUUUAAACUAUAAUGUUUAAAGCCUGUCCCGAACAUCCUUAAAUUCUUCAAAAUACUAGGUGGAAAAAAAAACUAUUAUACCAUCUGUUAUGUAUCUUUUGUUUCUCUAAUGUUCCACUUGUUAAUGUUUCCCAAGAUGUUUCUACUUUUUUUUCUGUGGCCGAUCUCUCAAAGCCUAUAUCAACUAAUCUUUAAUCAACAAUCGAUAAUUGUAAUGCAACAAAUAAAUAGUUUACUCCAAUAUCUCACUUUAGAAGUAAAUAUGUUAUACAUUAUUAAACUUCUUAUUUAAAUGCUUUUUUAAAAAAUCUCUAUCUCAUAUGUAUCAAGAUUUAAAUAUAUUAGACAUAGAUAUUAAUAUUAUAGAUAAAAACAACAACUUCAUAACAAGUGCAUGGAUUUCCACUCAAUCAAUGUUAUUUACAUGAACUUGUUUUUACCUGCAAUUUUCUAUAUAACUUUGGCAUGCAUGUUUAUUUUGCCUAUCUACAAAGCUACAUAUUGAGCUUACGAGCUCAUGACUUGUGGAUAUGGGUGGUGAUGAUAUUGUAAUUGGGUGGGCCUGGGCUACAAACUUAGUCUCAUGACUGGAAAACUCGGCCCAGGCUUUUGGGUUGCUGACUUAAAUAGAUAAUUUGUGAGCCUGAUAAUUUGGUCAAUCCAAACUCCAAAGGCAGUAUAUUAUGUUUUUGAAUUAUACAUGUAUAUCUACAUUAUAAAAUCAUAAAUUAUAUAACAUAAACAAAUUUCUAUCAAU
rnacentral:lncRNA from 1 species